AGUGAACGCUGGCGGUAGGCCUAACACAUGCAAGUCGAACGGCAGCACAGUAAGAGCUUGCUCUUACGGGUGGCGAGUGGCGGACGGGUGAGGAAUACAUCGGAAUCUACUUUUUCGUGGGGGAUAACGUAGGGAAACUUACGCUAAUACCGCAUAUGACCUACGGGUGAAAGCAGGGGAUCUUCGGACCUUGCGCGAUUGAAUGAGCCGAUGUCGGAUUAGCUAGUUGGCGGGGUAAAGGCCCACCAAGGCGACGAUCCGUAGCUGGUCUGAGAGGAUGAUCAGCCACACUGGAACUGAGACACGGUCCAGACUCCUACGGGAGGCAGCAGUGGGGAAUAUUGGACAAUGGGCGCAAGCCUGAUCCAGCCAUACCGCGUGGGUGAAGAAGGCCUUCGGGUUGUAAAGCCCUUUUGUUGGGAAAGAAAAGCAGCAGGUUAAUACCCCGCUGUUCUGACGUUACCCAAAGAAUAAGCACCGGCUAACUUCGUG
rnacentral:rRNA from 1 species